UACGUAGGGGGCUAGCGUUGUCCGGAAUCAUUGGGCGUAAAGAGCGUGUAGGCGGUCCGGUAAGUCCGCUGUGAAAGUCGGGGGCUCAACCCUCGAAUGCCGGUGGAUACUGUCGGGCUAGAGUGCGGAAGAGGCGAGUGGAAUUCCUGGUGUAGCGGUGAAAUGCGCAGAUAUCAGGAGGAACACCUAUUGCGAAGGCAGCUCGCUGGGACGUAACUGACACUGAGACGCGAAAGCGUGGGGAGCAAACAGG
rnacentral:rRNA from 1 species